UCUUACUUCCUGUGAAUGUAUCUCUUGAAACUCUAUUAACGUCAAUUCAUGGUUAGGGUUAGGUUCAGGGAUUGGGUUUGGUGAAGUUGAUGUUCAGUGAACAAUUAGAAAGACUGAACUUGAAUUUCAACAAACCAUCUGUAAAAGUCUCUCUAGGUGGACAAUCCAAAUAAAGUGUUACCCAAUUUA